rnacentral:rRNA from 1 species
CGGGGGGCAGCAGUGGGGAAUAUUGGACAAUGGGCGAAAGCCUGAUCCAGCAAUGCCGCGUGGAUGAAGAAGGUCUUCGGAUUGUAAAGUCCUUUCGACGGGGACGAUGAUGACGGUACCCGUAGAAGAAGCCCCGGCUAACUUCGUGCCAGCAGCCGCGGUAAUACGAAGGGGGCUAGCGUUGCUCGGAAUGACUGGGCGUAAAGGGCGCGUAGGCGGUUUGAUUAGUUAGGCGUGAAAUUCCUGGGCUCAACCUGGGGGCUGCGCUUAAUACAGUCAGACUGGAGUGUGAGAGAGGGUUGUGGAAUUUCCAGUGUAGAGGUGAAAUUCGUAGAUAUUGGAAAGAACACCGGUGGCGAAGGCGGCAACCUGGCUCAUUACUGACGCUGAGGCGCGAAAGCGUGGGGAGCAAACAGGAUUAGAUACCCUGGU